GUGUUUUUUUGUUUGUUUGUUUUUCGUUGGACAGGCGCAAUAUGGCGGCGACUCCCUGCAAAAACCUGGACAUUUUAAUGUUGAAUGAAUUAAAUUUAUUUUAAACAUAAAAAGAACAAUAAAACAAACACUCGGGACUUGAUAGCUUUGAUUAGGUCUACCAUACUAAUGGUGCUUAGUUUACAGUGACCGUUAUAAGUUGUGCUAAUAGUUAGCUAGUGCUAACGGCAAAUUUGCCGACAGAGCUAACAGCCGUUAAUGGCCGUUAGUUUAACUAACCGUUGCACCUUACGUUAGCCUGGUGCUUCCUAUGAGCACCACCUGCAAAAGCUUUGAAACAAAGGUGGCAUGGUUCACAUGCUCGGCUGGCCUGAUGUGUCCUGAAUACACAUGAUGGCAACUUCACUGGUAAAGGGAGAUCUGAGGUGACUUUAUAGUAAGUGACAGACAGGACAUGUCAAUGUCCAGGGCGUCCAUCUUGUUCUGGAUGUCAGCAGUCAGCUGGUGCCGAGCCUCCUGCAAAACACUGAGAACAACCACAAACUGUUCAUUUACAGGGUCAGUGACAAGCUCGUACCCUCGCCGUCCGUCCCUCAGGGUCAAGCAUUCACAGCCAACCUCCAGGGGAACAGCAGUCGCAGCCAAGGCCGUCUCAGUUUGCUCCUUAGACUGUCCCAACAUACAGUAAACCUCACAUCACUACAGGGAAAUAAGCGAAACGUGUCUCUCCUCCCACAGUCUCACCGCCAGGACUGCCCCCAUUACUGAAAGGGUUCUGGAUAACAGCCUGGCCAAGAAGGAGUCAGGGACAAGUCAGUCAAAAAAUAGCAGGUGCUCCAUGCUCACCUGUCCUCCGCUGUUCUCUGUGCGGAACUGGUACUGCACAUUGUCAGCGAACGCAGCCUGCGGGACACCGGUGAUGGUCACUGCAGUCUGCUCCUCCGUCCCCACCGCCUCUCCUGCAACACACAGGUCAACACCUUCAAAAUGUGACCCUACAGCGAGGCAGAGCCAUGAAAAACAGAUGAUUACAAGAAAUGAUGCUCCUACCUUCCUGUAACUGCACCACCUCUUCUGUUUCCUGUUUGUCGUGACUAAAAAAAACAAAACAGAACACCAGUGAGUCAAUUAUUUAUCAGAAAUGUGCUGUCUCUGUGAAUUAAGCUCUACUAGGGCUUGAUUGUGGAUAGAGGUCGCCCCCAGGUGGUCACAUUAGGGCAUUAUGGAUAAAACAUAAAUAAAGUGAAAUAUAACUGG